GAUGAACGCUGGCGGCGUGCCUAAUACAUGCAAGUCGAGCGAAUGGAUUAAGAGCUUGCUCUUAUGAAGUUAGCGGCGGACGGGUGAGUAACACGUGGGUAACCUGCCCAUAAGGCUGGGAUAACUCCGGGAAACCGGGUCUAAUACCGGAUAACAUUUUGAACCGCAUGGUUCGAAAGUGAAAGGCGGCUUCGGCUGUCACUUAUGGAUUGACCCGCGUCGCAUUAGCUAGUUGGUGAGGUAACGGCUCACCAAGGCAACGAUGCGUAGCCGACCUGAGAGGGUGAUCGGCCACACUGGGACUGAGACACGGCCCAGACUCCUACGGGAGGCAGCAGUAGGGAAUCUUCCGCAAUGGACGAAAGUCUGACGGAGCAACGCCGCGUGAGUGAUGAAGGCUUUCGGGUCGUAAAACUCUGUUGUUAGGGAAGAACAAGUGCUAGUCGAAUAAGCUGGCACCUUGACGGUACCUAACCAGAAAGCCACGGCUAACUACGUGCCAGCCGCCGCCGUAA
rnacentral:rRNA from 1 species